UAUUUUGUAUUUUUCAGCAAAUGGAUACAGCGCACUACAAUAGAAUGAACUUAUAAUUGACUGCAUUAAACCUUAUUCAACCAUUGCAUUUGAUGGCAUAGUCGAGAGACUUUAGCUGAGGUAACCUAAGAGGCCAUCUGAUCCGCCGCGACCGAUCCAACGUUGAGGGAAUUGUCUAUUAAGAAAUUCACGU